rnacentral:rRNA from 1 species
CAUGGAGGGUGAGAAUCCCGUUCGGUUGACCUUAUGACGCUCUACGAUACGCUCUCUAAGAGUCGAGUUGUUUGGGAUUGCAGCUCAAAAUGGGAGGUAAAUUUCUCCUAAGGCUAAAUAUCGGCGAGAGACCGAUAGCGAACAAGUACCGUGAGGGAAAGAUGAAAAGAACUUUGAAAAGAGAGUAAAAUAGUACGUGAAAUUGUUGAAAGGGAAACGAUUGAAGUCAGUCGUACCGACGAGAAAUCAACUUAUCGCGUGCGAACUUGUGGGCGUGCGUGAGUUUCGGCCUCGCUGUUUGCAUGUUUGUGCGUUUUGGGUGUACUUUUUCGUAUGGUAGGCCAACGUCAGUUUCGAUUAUCAUAAAAUGACCGGCGGAAUGUAGCUUCGAUUUCGGUUGAAGUGUUAUAGCCUCUGGUAGAUGUGGUGAUUGAGACUGAGGAUUGCAACGAAUACCCUUUGGGCUAUCCGUCUGGCCUCUGAAAGUUGCUCAGGUGCCGAAAGCGUGCUUACGGUCAUCUAAGAUAACGUUCAACAGGUUAGAACGUGAUUACAUUCGUUAAGGAUGUUGACGUAAUGG